rnacentral:lncRNA from 1 species
GAAACGCAAUACUAAAGGUAUCUUAUAUUCUAUCCUCUUCUAUGUGACGUAGAAAUACGUCUUGGUUUGUCCUGAAUGGAACUAAAUAUCGUUUUCCUUUGACUCAACUUUUGCCAAUGUCAGGCAAGAAGAUUUACCUAGGCAUCGUGUAAGCUUUGUGGGAUUACACCGUGUCCCUUUCGUGUUCAUGCUACAAAGCAUUGGGUGGACCAAGUCGUUGCCGACAUUGCAAUUACUGUUUUUUUUUUUAAUUUAAGUACCAUAAUGUUCCUUCAAAUCUACGAUUUACGCACGGCAGCAUGUGCCGGUCAUAUUUAGAUAUAUGUGUUUAUUAUUCGAAAGAAUAUGACGAGACGUACAUGAUUGUGACAGCUUUUUUUUUCCAAAAAAAAAAUGCAAAGAUAAAUCAUCAGAGCGAUCAUUUAGAAUAAAGUGUAUGGGAAGAACUAAGAUUUUUCAGAACAGUGGUGAUAAAAGAUUUUGGAGGGUCGGUGUGUGUAACUACGAAGAUAACGAAAUACGAAAGGAAAUCAACUAAAACAGAGAAAGAUUUUUAUCCAGGCGGAGAAGAGCGAGGAAAAUAUAUAAAUUAUUUGGUUGCAUAAAAUGGUAGAAUCGAAUUCCACUGACCCUAUAUAAAAACCCCAGCAGCACAUACACGGUACAAAACAUGAAUGCACACCCCCGAACCGCCACACCACGACGGCCUAGUCAAACCCCACAACCGAAAUAAACAAUGUCCACGAAAUAAAAUAAAAAAAGGAUCCGAAUUUUCGUUUUUUUCACGCUUUUUUGUAACACGAAUUUCAAUUAACUUUCCUUCAACGUGAUGAUGGGGGUAGGGGGUAGUGAAAGACCACACAAAUAAAGAUAUAGUCGCACCUCAAAUACAUAACAUUAUACCUGUGUCAUCAAAUUGAAA